rnacentral:rRNA from 1 species
UUUUGCGGCGGGCUUAACACAUGCAAGUCGAACGGGCUGUUCCUUCGGGGGCAGUCAGUGGCGCACGGGUGCGUAACACGUAGGUAAUCAACCCUCUGGUUGGGGAUAACACUUCGAAAGGAGUGCUAAUACCCGGUAUGGCGCAGCGGUCUUCGGAUCGCGGCGAGAAAGGCCCGCAAGGGUCGCCAACGGACGGGUCCGCGUCCCAUCAGCUAGUUGGUGAGGUAAUGGCUCACCAAGGCAAAGACGGGUAGCUGGUCUGAGAGGAUGAUCAGCCACACUGGAACUGAGACACGGUCCAGACUCCUACGGGAGGCAGCAGUGGGGAAUAUUGCGCAAUGGGCGAAAGCCUGACGCAGCCACGCCGCGUGAGCGAUGAAGGUCUUCGGAUCGUAAAGCUCUGUGGGGGGAGAAGAAGAAAGCCGGUGAAGAGCCGGCCCUGACGGUAUCCCCUUAGCAAGCACCGGCUAACUCCGUG